rnacentral:rRNA from 1 species
CGGGUGAGUAACGCGUGAGGAACCUGCCUCAAAGAGGGGGACAACAGUUGGAAACGACUGCUAAUACCGCAUAAGCCCACGGCUCGGCAUCGAGCAGAGGGAAAAGGAGCAAUCCGCUUUGAGAUGGCCUCGCGUCCGAUUAGCUAGUUGGUGGGGUAAUGGCCCACCAAGGCGACGAUCGGUAGCCGGACUGAGAGGUUGAACGGCCACAUUGGGACUGAGACACGGCCCAG